rnacentral:tRNA from 1 species
GGAUGUCUAACUCAAUUGGCAAGAGUAUCUGUCUCUUAAACAGAAAGAUGAGGGUUCAACUCCCUCGGCAUCUACCA